GUGCAAUAGAGCGAUCUCAGCUCACUCAAAAAAAAAAAAUCAAAUAAUGUAAUUUGUUUCCCCUAUUUAAAGGCCCUCAAUGGCUUCCCAUUGUUGUUAGAAUAAAAUCCAAAUACCUUAGCAAGGUCUACACGUCCUGACUUGGUCUGACCCCUGCCUGCCUUCCCAGUCUUACCUCCCUAAUUCCCUACUCUAUUUGCACUAAGCCCUAGCUAUUUUUUUUUUUUUUUUUUUUUUUUUUUUUUUUUUUUUU
rnacentral:lncRNA from 1 species